UACGAACUGUGCAAACGUUAUUCGGAAUCACUGGGCUUAAAGGGCGCGUAGGUGGUUUGCCAAGUCGGGGUUGAAAUCUUUCGGCUCAACCGGAAAAGUGGCUUCGAUACUGGCAAGCUGGAGGGAGGUAGGGGCGGAUGGAACUUCCGGUGGAGCGGUGAAAUGUGUUGAUAUCGGAAGGAACGCCGGUGGCGAAAGCGAUCCGCUGGACCUCUUCUGACACUGAGGCGCGAAAGCCAGGGGAGCAAACGGG
rnacentral:rRNA from 1 species